UACCCGCAGCCCAAGUGGUGGUCGAUUUUAUUGAGUCUAAAGCGUUCGUAGCCGGUUUGAUAAAUCCUUGGGUAAAUCGGGAAGCUUAACUUUCCGACUUCCGAGGAGACUGUCAGACUUGGGACCGGGAGAGGCUAGAGGUACUUCUGGGGUAGGGGUAAAAUCCUGUAAUCCUAGAAGGACCACCGGUGGCGAAGGCGUCUAGCUAGAACGGAUCCGACGGUGAGGGACGAAGCCCUGGGUCGCAAACGGGAUUAGAUACCCCGGUAGUCCAGGGUGUAAACGCUGCCGACUUGGUGUUGGAGGCCCUUCGGGGGCAUUCAGUGCCGGAGAGAAGUUGUUAAGUCGGCCACUUGGGGAGUACGUCCGCAAGGAUGAAACUUAA
rnacentral:rRNA from 1 species